CCGACGGUGAGUAGCGCGUAUGCAACUUGCCUAUCAGAGGGGGAUAACCCGGCGAAAGUCGGACUAAUACCGCAUGAAGCAGGGAUCCCGCAUGGGAAUAUUUGCUAAAGAUUCAUCGCUGAUAGAUAGGCAUGCGUUCCAUUAGGCAGUUGGCGGGGUAACGGCCCACCAAACCGACGAUGGAUAGGGGUUCUGAGAGGAAGGUCCCCCACAUUGGUACUGAGACACGGACCAA
rnacentral:rRNA from 1 species